GCUCGGAUGGCGCGGGGGCGGCCUGCUCCGGCCAGCUCAGGUCCGUUCGCUGCCCCUGCAAUCGCGGGGACGAGAUCCAGGGCGCGGCGUCCAAGUACGGCGGCAUGGUGCGCCCGGACGGCGGCGGCGGGAGUCGGCCUUCAUCCAGAAGCACUGGGCGCUGCGGCAGCUCCGGCGCGGCGACCAGCAGUCGUGGCGGCCGCAGCGCGGCCUGCAGGAGAAGCCCGUCGCCGUGCUCAAGGCCUGGAUUGUGUUGGAUGUGACAUGACGGUCGAUAGCAUGAGGUGAAGGUCAAGUGAAAAGUUCAUGCCGAUGGACCAAGGGCGGUGAAGGGUGGACACAAGGUGCUUGGACUGAGGGACCCGAAGAAUUCGGGUAAAAUCAUGGGCGAUCCACGUUGAUGUAUAGAAGAGAAAGAGUACAUGGAAGGCAUGAAGAUGGUGUCGGUCGAGUCAAGCAGGACGAAGGCAAAUCAAAUAGGCAGAGUAGGAGCGGCAACAAAAGACUUAGAGGCAUCGAAGGCUUGGCGGAAGCGAGACACGAGUCGAUAUCGGUGAGUCACGUCUUGUGCGGCGUGCAAGAGGGUUUGACCUCAAAAUCGGGUGUGACUCACAUCUAGCUUGAUGUGCAAGAGGAUUUCCUAGUUGGAGUCUCAAAAACAGGGCCGCAUCCGUUGUGCCCCCAUAUUGUUGACGAAGGGCACAGGGUGUCGGCCAGGCAUCCCCAGGCCUACCAGAAGACCUGUACGGGCCCACUCAAGAAAACGUACUUGAAACCUACUCAGACAUGAAGACUACUCUGCAAGGCAAGUAGGCUUCAUAGACUCUCCGAAGACUAGUCGGAUCGUCACCGUUACGGUUUCCCCUACCGGAUCAUCACUGACUUGGGAUCCAACUUCAACAACCAUGACUUCUGAGAGUAUUGCGAGAACAGCGGAAUCGACGUACGUUACGUCUCCGUCGCUCACCCAAGGACCAACAGCCAAGUCGAGCAAGCCAACGGCAUGUUACUCGAAGCUCUCAAGAAAAGGCUGCAUGACAUUUGCAACACCAAAGGAGGCAAAUGGCUCAAAGAACUACCCAACGUUCUCUGGGGGCUACGUACUCAACCGUGCAAGCCUACUAGGCAAUCAACCUACUUCCUCGUGUACAGGUCGGAAGCCAUACUCCAUGCAGACGUCAUGUGGCGAUCCCCCGCAGUAGAGCAAUACGAAGAAGGGGUAGCAGAGGAGACAAGACGCUUGGACCUUGACAGACUGGAAGAAAUACGAAGUGCAGCACUGGUACAAUCAGUCAAAUAUCUUGAAGGACUACGCCGCUACCAUCAUCGUAAUGUCAAAGAACGUUCCUUCAAUGUGGGUGACGUGGUCCUCAAGCGUAUCCAAGAUACAUCAGGGCUGCACAAAUUCAAUUUGCAAUGGGAAGGACCUUACACCAUAUCCAAGGUUACAGGACCUGGAUCAUACCGGUUAUAGGAACUCUCCGGCGAAGAAGUCGUAAACUCUUGGAACAUAGAGCACUUAUGCCGCUACUACCCGUAGCUAGCAGACUACAAGACAUGUACUCGGGUCUUCACCCAUAACUCAUCAGUCUUGAUCAAUAAAGUUCACUUCGG